GAUCAAUUUAUUAUGGUGAACAAGGAAAUGGCAAAUGUGUUGAACAGUUACUUUGUAUCCGUCUUCACUAGGGAGGACAUAAACAAUCUUCCUGAUGUACUAGUGGUCAGAGGAUCUGCGGUGACGAAGGAACUGAGGAAAUCAACCUUAAGCCGGAAAUGGUGUUGGGUAGACUAAUGGGACUGAAGGUUGAUAAAUCCCCAGGGCCUAUUUGUCUGCAUCCCAGGGUACUUAAGGA